UACGGGGGGAGCAAGCGUUGUUCGGAUUUACUGGGCGUAAAGAGCUCGUAGGCGGCUUGUCGCGUCGUCCGUGAAAACUUGGGGCUCAACCCCAAGCUUGCGGUCGAUACGGGCAGGCUCGAGUUCGGUAGGGGAGACUGGAAUUCCUGGUGUAGCGGUGAAAUGCGCAGAUAUCAGGAGGAACACCGGUGGCGAAGGCGGGUCUCUGGGCCGAUACUGACGCUGAGGAGCGAAAGCGUGGGGAGCGAACAGG
rnacentral:rRNA from 1 species